rnacentral:rRNA from 1 species
UUCGCAAUGCCCGAAAGGGUGACGAAGCGACGCCGCGUGUGGGAAGAAGGCCUUCGGGUUGUAAACCACUGUCGGGAGUUAAGAAAUGCAAGGAUAUUAAUAGUGUCUUUGUUUGACUAAGGCUCCGGAGGAAGCCACGGCUAACUCUGUGCCAGCAGCCGCGGUAAUACAGAGGCGGCAAGCGUUGUUCGGAAUUAUUGGGCGUAAAGAGCACGUAGGCGGCUAUGUAAGUCGGUUGUGAAAGCCUUCCGCUCAACGGAAGAACAGCAUCCGAUACUACAGGGCUCGAGUGCGGGAGGGGAGAGUGGAACUUCAGGUGGAGCGGUGAAAUGCGUAGAUAUCAGAAGGAACAUCGGCGGCGAAAGCGACUCUCUGGCUCGUUCCUGACGCUGACGCGCGAAAGCUAGGGGAGCGAACGGGAUUAGAUACCCCGGUAGUCCUAGCCGUAAACG